rnacentral:rRNA from 1 species
GACGGCGGAUGCAAGCGUUAUCCGGAAUGAUUGGGCGUAAAGCGUCCGCAGGUGGCAGUUCAAGUCUGCUGUCAAAGACCGGGGCUUAACUUCGGAAAGGCAGUGGAAACUGAACAGCUAGAGUAUGGUAGGGGCAGAGGGAAUUCUUGGUGUAGCGGUGAAAUGCGUAGAGAUCAGGAAGAACAUCGGUGGCGAAGGCGCUCUGCUGGACCAUAACUGACACUCAGGGACGAAAGCUAGGGGAGCGAACAGG